CCAAAUUGUUUUGUAAAUGCUUAACUAACAUUUUGAUAUACUGUAUAUUUGAUUACAUUUUGAUGUACUGCAUUGAGAUGGGAGUCAUAUGCAGCUAGAUCAAUUUCAAAUUGAGGUAUUGCUACCUUAGGCUUUAAAUGAGCGUUUGAAAAAUUCAAUGGUCUGAGGAGUCGCUUUUAUACAGGGACUUUCAGAAAAAAGGGAGAACGGCAAAAAAUAGAAUGGGUACAUGGAAACAAAUUAAAUUUUCUGCCUGGAAGUAUUCUAAGGUGUAAUAGAAAAGAACAAGAUCAGAUUUAUCAUGUAAGCGACAAGAGUGUCAUUGUGUUCUUUUGAUGGAUAAAAAUAAUUGAACUAUUACACUCUUUUUUUAUAACAACCAGUAAAUUUAAGUUCAGGCUGACUGUUCUUAAUUUUUUCGAAAAUCUUAGGCUGGAUUGUUCUUAAUUUGUACUUAAUUAAUAGGGUGCAAGAGUGCAAUUGCUAGCUUCUUCGCUCUAGGAAGAUGUUCAAGCCUCAUUUGCCAACAAAAUAAGUGAGACAACCUUCAUUUGCCAAAAAGUCUGAAUAUUCACCGAAAAAGCACCUGCACAUGGCUAAAAAUCCUCGUUUGUGAGAUAAAACGCUUUUCAAAAUUGAAUUUUACAGUAGCUCAACCAAAGCUUGUUCUCAAUUUGUUUUUUACUUUUGACCAAUUUGAGGCUUGUGUUCUUCUAAAAUUUUUCCUAUAAGAAAGAGUUUAGUUGCAGCAAAACAAAGGGUAAAAUCGUUUGUUCAAUAUGGAGCUAAGGUAUAAACUUUAUCCGGUUUUAACUUUUCAACACAGGCUUACAAUGUUACAAUGUUGAAGCUGGUGUAAAUCAAGUGAGGCUGAUUAGCUAGAAAAGAAAGGAUAAAUUCCCUAUAAACUCUAAAUAUGAUGGAAAGUUGCAAUCAUUAAUGAAAUUUCCGACAAACCCAAAGAAGUCCUUUUUCACAAAGGGAAAAAGGGAACACGCUUUUUACAUUUUUUCAUUUUCCAACAAAUGGGUUCAAAUUUGCUCUGGAGAGCAAAUUUUUGCAGCAUCAACAAUUCUGAUGCAUUUAGUUUUAUUGCUUACACUCUUUUUAUUAAGAACCAGUAAAUUGAUCUUCUGGCUGGUUGUACUUAACUUUUCCUUAACUUUGAGGCUGAAUUGUUCUUAUUUUGUUCAUAAACUAUUGGAGUGUGAGAAGUGCAGUCGCUAGUUAUAGUGCUCAGGGGGAGUGUUCAGGCCCCAUUUGCUAGCAAAGUAAGCGAUCCUUUCUUUAUUUGCCGACAAGCUUGAAAAUCCACCACAAAAGCACUCAUAGACAGGGUUGCCAUUUGGCCGUGUUGACGGCCAAAUUCCUCUAUUCUGACCGUUUUUCAAAGCUGUUGGCCUUCGAAAAUUGAUUUGGCCGAAAAAGCGAAAGUUGGCCGAAUUUUUGCCGCAUGUCGAAAGCCACAAAAAUAUAAAGAAAAUUGAAAUUGAAAGCAAGUGGGAGCUUUGUAACAAACAAAGUCAAUUUUGAUUACACUAUUACUCCACAGGAUUAGCAAAAAUGUAGCUUUUUUGUAUAUUUUUUUGGCGGGCCGAAUUGGGCCGCCAACCAUUCCAAUCAUCUGGCAACCCUGCUCAUAGAUGGCAAAAUACUCCUCAUUUCUAUGGUGGAAUCAUUUAAAAGGGGGCUUUAUUCAAAAUUAUAUUUUACAGUACCUCAACAUUAUCUUGUUCUUGAUUUGUUCUUAAUCUCUGACCAAUUUUGAGGCUCGUAUCUUUAAAAAAAAGCAUGUUAGAGUAUAGGAACUUUUGUGUGGAACAGGAUAGGAGGAGGGGGUUUAUAGGAACAGGCAGGUUUUCCAUUGUUUAGAGCAGGAAAGUGAUGGGGGGGGGGUGGAUGUGAUUUAAUUCAGCAAUAUACCGUGUUAGAAUAGUAAAAUGCAACACUUAUAAACGAUUCCAGAUUAACCUUGUAGUUAUUAUUCACAAACCAUGCGAAGCCUGAAACCAUUUCUUCAAUGCCUGGUCAACAAGAUUCACUUGGAGGAGGACUUGAAGAGCCCUUGGCAAUGUAUAUGCAGACGUCCUUCCUUUACAGUGGGUUGAAGGCAUUAUUUUUAUGGAACCAUCGAUUUUUGUAUAAUUUUAGAUGAAGAGCUCUGAAGGGAAAACCUUAGUUGCUAAAAACUUGGAGGGAGGCCAUUGCUCUUUUAGGCUUUUGCCAAAUGUCCUCACGGCACUAAAUGGUUCAUGUAAGUGGAAUUCUAGGGGAAGGUCCUUUUCCCCUUAAAAAACUACUUCCUACAGUUAAACUUCACCUUUUAUACUACAUAUGUCAAAUUUUCAAUUUUAAACAAUCAGUGACCAGUUUAAUCGAAAGAAAGAAAUUUGCUUCUAUUUAUGUGGUGAUAUGUUUUUUUGUUGCAAAUUUUCAUGGAUCAGUUUCAGACGAUUCAAUAGCAUACUCAAUACAGACAAUCAUUGUUUCACUUGCAUGGUUCCUGAUAUUUUCUCAGUAGACUGCUUAUCAUUCUUUGAUAUGAUGCUCAAGUGAAGGAUAACUGAUCGAGUGUUGCCCUUUUCAUGUCAAACUGCCCCAUCCUGUUCUAUUGUCAUCUAAUCUUGCUUUAGUGAGAAAAUCUGACAAGCUGGGGAGACGUUUUAGAAGAUAUGUUGUGAUUUGGACAUUUCUGGAUGAGAGACGAAGUGAAUAUUAGAAGAAAAUCAGAAGGAAAAUGUUAAAGACGAGGAGAAAGAAAAGACCAUUCACGAAUUUUACUUGAUGAGAUGUUUGGAUAAGAGCUUUCAAAUGCUAAGAAGUACAGACUCAAGAGAAUCAUUGGCACUCCCUGAAUGGUUAAUAUGCAUAAAAAAGCUGUUGAUUUGACUUCAAAGCCAGCGGGAAAAUUCUUCUUGAGAAAAGUUACUUAAAAUAGGAAUUUUGAAUGUGUCUAAUUUCCCUCGCUAACUGUAAAGUCAGAAAAACCUGGACCCUGGAACAAAUUUUCAAGUGUUGUUGCUGACCUUAAUGGUAAAACUUUCAAAGAUCAUUUGUCACCCCAGUUUUGGAGAUAAAGGCUUUUUUUAACUCGAAUAACAGAAAAUCAAAACAGUUACGAAAGAAGCAAAUUCAUUGUGCAAUAAAAGAAACCCCAAAUUUAAGGUUACUACCAUUCUACCCAGGGCUGUCUCUAACUACUGUGUUAAGACGAGGAAGGGAGGGGGGUUUCAGACCAAAUUUUCCAGAUAAAGCGGGUGAGCAAUCCUUUCAUUACCGAAAAUUGUACAGAACAAACUGGGUGACGAAGCACCCUUAUGUGGCAAAACUCCCCCUAACCCUCACCGAAGCGGCGGCCCUGAUUCAACCUGUCCUUCACAUCAUAAUCUCUCUUUUCUCUUUCAUUUUCAUGUUUAAUCUUUAGAUUUUUCAACAACACGAAAUUCUGUUUAAUUGUGCUAAUUUCCUCUUAAAAAACGACGUGAGCAAAUGAUGGCAGAGGUAUAUUUCCGCACCAUAACCACAUACGGAAAUAAACCGAUGACCGCCCCAGUUCAUUGUGAAGAUCUCCAGAAAAUGAUCCUUCUAGAAGAUCUCCGACAACCAUUACCAUAGGCUACACUCUUUAUUCGAUUUGGAUCUAACUCUUUCUUUUUUUGCUGAUUUUGAAUACAGCAAAAUAUCUUUUUCAUAACAAUAAUGAUAACGAUAUAAAUGUUUAGACUGUCUAAUUAUAAUGGUCGCCUUUUCAGCAACAAAGAUGUUGUUAUCAAUAAGAAUAAGGUCUAUACACAGGUAUUGCCAAUAGAAGUUUGGAAGUAAUUUCAGAACAAGAAUAAAUUGUACAGUUUGUAGUACACUCUUUUUUUAUAAGAACCAGUAAAUUUAAUUUCAGGCUGACUGUUCUUAAUUUUUUCGAAAAUCUGAGGCUGGAUUGUUCUUAAUUUGUUCUUAAAUUAAGAGGGUGUAAGCAGUGCUAUUGCUAGCUUUUUCGCUCUAAGGAGGUGUUCAGGCCUCAUUUGCUAACAAAGUGAAUGAGACAGCCUUAAUUUGCUGACAAAUUUGAAUAUUCACCGAAAAAGCACCCACACAUCGCUAAAAAUCCUCGAUUUUGAGAAAAACGUUGUUCAAAAUUGCAUUUUGCAGAAGCUCAGCCUCAGCUUGUUCUUAAUUUGUUCUUAACUUUUGACCAGUUUUAAGGCUCGUGUUCUUAUAAAAUUGUUCUUAUAAAAAAACAAUUUGUAUUGUAAGAGUGUAAAUGUAGGGGCUAAGGCUAACCAGUGGCGUAACGCAGUUUGAGGCAUCUUAGGUCGAUAACCAAGGGCCCCCGGCCAAAAGGGGCACCUAAAUUGUUUUCGCAUCCACGUUUUUUACACUUCGCUCAAGUUCAACCGUUUUAAAAGAACUUUUUAGAAACAAAUCCCCUAAUUAAUGAGAAAAAUUAUCAUGUUCACAUCUUGCUAUUGUGUUUAAAAUGCUCUAGACUCUUGGAUGGGACUAUUUUGCAGUCCAUUAAUUGGGGCCGUGUCUCUGUUUUUCGUUAGGGCUCCCGGUGGCUCCAUUACCGCACUGGGGAUAACGCUUAAUAAAGUUGAAUAUGGAUUGUCCAGCAUUAGAAUAUUGUAUGAUAGUAAGAAGUGCUAUCAUUAAAGUAAUACCAAGAAAAAAUUAUAAAACUAAAAAACAGUUUUCAAACGAAAUUUUUCAUUUCAAUAUUUUGUCGAAAUACGAAACAUGACUAGACUUUCCUUUAUUUGAAACAUGACCAGACUUUUCUAGACUUUUACAACAAAGCGAUUGUCUGGGGUCGUUUUCAAAGAUAAAAGAGUUUUGCAGAUAUUGUAGAUGAUUUAUGCCUCUCUAAUCUGAAAAAGUUUUCAUAAAACCUAUCUACUUAACUGACUUCUAGAUGAAUCAUUUUAUGCCUCUGAGUCAAUAUGUUGUUCAUAUUGUUUCCUGGUAAGACACGUUAAUCUUUACUGCCCUUCGUAUUAUGCUUUGUUCGUUAAUUGUGUCAUUACCUCUGAUUCAUCAGCCACAUUUUCCUGCGUUGUUGCUGAACUCACAGAAGUCCUAGUUUUAGAAAUGCAGUUGCCAAUAAAACAGUUUUCUCUUCAGAGUGCUUUCAAAUGGUCUCCCUAACUUCAUUUUUCUUUAUGAAGAGAAGAUACAGUUUUGAAAACUGCAUUGAAUAAUUUUUGAUUUUCUUUUACAGAGAAAAUACUGUCAUCGUAAUCUUUUCGUUGAUUGACUGAAGAAGUACCCUGUCACAAGUAAGCUCAGGGCGUAAAUACUUACUCUUUGCAGUGAACUCGAGAAAAUUGAUUCAUUCUAUAAAUAAUCAUUUGUUUCAAAUGCUCUCUGCCCUAAAAUUCUUGUAGUCUUAUGAGGUGACACCCUUAACCCCCGAAGGAAAGAAAAUAUUACCUAACAACAGAGCUGUUUCGUGUCUGAAAACACUGAAUGUCAAUUAUUUGGAUUCCUACGUUAAAUGAGGGAUUAACUGACGACAAUGCAUUGGAGUUCGCAUUCAGAUGAAGUAUGAUUAUUUCUUAAUGGCAGCGUAAGGCAUUGUCAUUUUCCAACCAUUUAAGGAAAGUGAUUGCAGCGGGCAAGCAAUUCGUACUGACAUCUCCGCGCACUAAAUGCACACGCAAACUGCAUAAACCCCGACUUAUUGUUGUCAAUAUCCGCAGAUGGACAAACAAUGUACACAUUCCUCUCGCGUUUCUAUAGCUACGUGGAAUUUUAAAAAAAUAUUACAAAGACGUAGGCUGCUAAUGUGUUUGGUAUAAAAUAUUUGAUUGCAUGUGUAUGACAUUGUACAGCUAAAUAUUGACAUUAGCGUUGUUCUUGACUAAACAUAUAAAAACACCAUGCCCUUCAACCCCAGACACACCCUAGGUGCCAGUGCUUUAAAUAUAAAAGAAUUUUAAUUAAAACGAAAUGGAAAAUUGUCUCUUUUUGCCCCCUAUCUUUGUUACAGGCAAGAACCAAGAUACCGGGGACGGGGGUCUUGACCCCCAACAAAUAUAAUGCCUCCCAACAAACUCAAAUAGCAUAAGUAAACUACUUUUAUUUUGUAAAAUAUUGCUGUUGUUUCACUUAUUCACCCCCCCCCCCAAACAAAAAGUUGUAUCUUGGUCUUUGGCUACAGGAGACACUUGCAUCCAGGGUACUGUAGACUAUAUACCGACAACUAGUGCACAACAUUUACAUGAAUGCUUACUAUAACUUUCAAUUCUUACUUCACUUCACUGUUUCAAUAUCAGUUACAAACAAAUUACGGUACUGUUGUUAGUUAUCAAAGUUGAAUCGUCUAGAGCAGUAACUUUGAGUCCAAGUCAUAAGACUUGCCGCAGCUCAGCACUUUUGAGGCUUCAGCAGAGUUGGCUGGGGGACGACAAACAUUGAGAAAAUUGAUGUAUUAAUAGAAAUAUUGAUGUGUAGGGUUCAUCAUUCUUACGCCCAAAAAAGAGAAAGGCAGUAAUUUAGACUUUUAUAAUUCAACUUGCACAUCAUGGAGGGUCAAAGAUCCUAAUAGUGCAGACUUAAUUGUGACAUAUUUGAAUAUUUAUACCUCAUUUAUGUCCAUUAAUAUACAACUGGGUCUUGGCACCUUUUCCCUAGCAAGAGUUGUGAAAUGACGAAUAGGAAAAUCAAAAUCUAAAACAAUAUAUAACAUAACGUUAUGCAGUGUACGCACAAGUAAUAGUCUUGCUUGUUAUGAAGUAACAUUUCGAUCAAAACGCAGUUAAACAAAUGAAAAUUGUGGUAAGAUUGAGCCUUGCAACUGUUGGACGUUUGACCUUACAAUUAUACCCUUUGGACUAAACUAUGUAAAAGAGUAAACUUUGAAUAGAGUAUGCCCCCGUUUACCAAUUGAGUUAAAUUGUCUGUAAUGUUUUGCACUGUAAAUGAGAUUCCUGUCUGGUUUAUGUAGCAUUAUGAUUUUAUUUAAGAUUAGUGUUCUUUAGAACUCGAGUAAAAAUUUUCGUUUUUUGCAAAGCUUCGAAUUUAAAUCCGGUGUUCCCCUUUUUCUGUUGGUGGGUUAAAUACCAUCAAGUUCUUUUGGUAACCUGCACGCGAUUUCUUCAAGCAAUAAAUUUAUCAAACCACAUCGUCUUCGAAACUCGAGCUGCACGCAAUUUCCACAAUUUCUAGUUCGUUUCCAGUUGCAGCACAAAGAAGAUCUCGGCUCAGAAGAAGACUUCCUGAUCCUUGGCCACACAAUUCACGUGCAGGUUGAGCACCCUUGCUUCAUACCACAAUCAAGAUAUGCCCAAAUUAUCUAAAAGCAAAUAGACACAAAAUCAAAUCUCAUUGGUCGAAUUUUUCAACAUGACCAUAUACGGGUUUAUGAUAUAACCGCAGAAAGCCUCCUCUCUCCAUUUGACGUCAAUCAAUUGCAAGACAUGGCUUCUCGGUGAGAGAAAUGUAUGCAACUGGUAAACAAAUUCCGUGCAUGGGCGGGAGGGCAGCCCAGACAAUAUAGAAUCAAAAACAAUGAAGUUGAUGUAUAUAACUGUGUAUGACUAGUUUAUAUUGUUUACACCUAACAACCGCAUCCUAUUGUUUGACCCUGGAGUCAGAGGGUAUAAAAGUGCUGCUACUUGUUCAGAGCAUCAGAUUCCAGAAGAUUCAGAAAAGAAACGAUCAUCGAGAGUUCUCUCCAGAGAUAUCCUGAUAGUGAAGACAAGCAAGAGUUGAC